rnacentral:rRNA from 1 species
GAUGAACGCUAGCGGCAGGCUUAACACAUGCAAGUCGAGGGGUAUAGUUCUUCGGAGCUAGAGACCGGCGCACGGGUGCGUAACGCGUAUGCAAUCUACCUUUUGCAGAGGGAUAGCCCAGAGAAAUUUGGAUUAGUACCUCAUAGUAUGUGAGAAUGGCAUCAUUUUCACAUUAAAGUCACAACGGCAAAAGAUGAGCAUGCGUCCCAUUAGCUUGUUGGUAAGGUAACGGCUUACCAAGGCAACGAUGGGUAGGGGUCCUGAGAGGGAGAUCCCCCACACUGGUACUGAGACACGGACCAGACUCCUACGGGAGGCAGCAGUGAGGAAUAUUGGACAAGGGGCGCAAGCCUGAUCCAGCCAUGCCGCGUGCAGGAUGACGGUCCUAUGGAUUGUAAACUGCUUUUGUACAGGAAGAAACACUGGUUCGUGAACCAGCUUGACGGUACUGUAAGAAUAAGGAUCGGCUAACUCCGUGCCAGCAGCCGCGGUAAGAC